rnacentral:tRNA from 1 species
UGAGGUAUGGUGUAAUGGUAGCACUACAGAUUUUGGUUCUGUCUGUGGAGGUUCGAAUCCCCCUAUCUCAA